AAGUGAAGAAAAACCAGCAGUUAUUCCAAGUACACCGUUAAGUUUAUUACCAUUUAUAUCAAAGAUUAAUGAGCAGUAGACAUCUGAUUUAGAAACACCUCAAAUGAAUAAAAGUUUUCCUAUAAAAUCAUCAGAAAGUAUCGAACAAACUGUUUAUUUAAAAGAAUGUACUCCAAAUAAUUCUUAUUUUAAGAAUAUAUUUGAUGAAUUUACUUCAAAGUCUACUGUGAUAAAUUAUACAAGAAUGAGAGGAAGAACUAAAAGGAAAAUUUAUAAGAAUACUUUUGCUAACAUGAACGUCGUUAAAAUUGAAUUGAAUAAUCAAGAUAGUGAAAAUGAUAUAGUAGCUAUAGAUACAUGCAGUGAUAAAGAAAAGAAAAAUAUUCUUCUGAAAAUUAAUAGCGCACAAGAUUUUUUCUCUGAUGUUUGAUUGCUAGCGUAAAUCAAAUUUGUGCUAGUACUUCGCUGCAAAAAUGAUAUGCAUAACGUUGAAAGUAUGAAUAAAAAUAGGCGCUUCAAAGAAGUAUUAGUAGAUAAUAUUACAGUAUUAAAAACACAUUAUAAAGUAGGAAAAAAUGAAUGUAAUGAAAAGAAAAUAUUUAAUAAUGAUAGUAGAAUAACAUUAGAUGUAUCAAUAAAUAUUAUAGGAUUUACUAUAACAAAUGGAACUCGUAAAUGUAUCAGAGUCUGCUAUAACAAAAGCAAAAUCUUUUCUGGAAAUAGAUGACAUUGUAUCUUUAACGAA
rnacentral:lncRNA from 1 species